rnacentral:lncRNA from 1 species
AAUUUGAAAAUAUUCUUAUUGAAAUAACGUAGUCAUCAAUUGAAUAUAUUAUUACGUACUGUAGUUGUUGCAAUUGAGGAUUGCAUUUGUGUAAAUAUGAUGGUUAUAUAGUAUACAGAAUGGAGACGAGUCAAAUUCUGCCAUCUAAAGUUUUCUCCAGCAGCUUAGAAAUUUUUCAUGCUUGUUUAGUUUUAAAUUCGCCAUGGGUAAUCGCCAUCGGAGUUCAACCUUUCUUCCCGCAUCACUUGGUUUCGCAUUACAGUAUUAUUAUUAUUACUUGCUCCACUUCAAACUGGCUCCCAUAGUGCGAUGCACCCUUGGUACAUCUCCGCCUAGGCGCGGCUCCGUUUUGUUACGAAAAAACAUACUAAAAUUAUGCUACACUAGAAAAGAAAAUUUUGUUUAAAAUUGUUUUUAAAAUGAAUGUUUUCAGAAAUCAAAGAUGC